GUGGGGGAUAUUGCACAAUGGAGGAAACUCUGAUGCAGCGACGCCGCGUGAGUGAAGAAGUAUUUCGGUAUGUAAAGCUCUAUCAGCAGGGAAGAUAAUGACAGUACCUGACUAAGAAGCCCCGGCUAACUACGUGCCAGCAGCCGCGGUAAUACGUAGGGGGCAAGCGUUAUCCGGAUUUACUGGGUGUAAAGGGAGCGUAGACGGAAUGGCAAGUCUGAAGUGAAAUCCUGCGGCUUAACUGCAGAAUUGCUUUGGAAACUGUCAAUCUGGAGUGUUGGAGAGGUAAUCGGAAUUCCUGGUGUAGCGGUGAAAUGCGUAGAUAUCAGGAAGAACACCGGAGGCGAAGGCGGCUUACUGGACAAUAACUGACGUUGAGGCUCGAAAGCGUGGGAAGCAAACAGGAUUAGAUACCCGUGUAGUCC
rnacentral:rRNA from 1 species